rnacentral:rRNA from 6 species
UGGCGGCCGUAGCGCGGUGGUCCCACCUGACCCCAUGCCGAACUCAGAAGUGAAACGCCGUAGCGCCGAUGGUAGUGUGGGGUCUCCCCAUGCGAGAGUAGGGAACUGCCAGGCU